rnacentral:misc_RNA from 1 species
UGGUCCUUGUCGAUAUGAUAGCUCCCUGGGUCUUCUAACGAAAAAGUUCAUCAAUCUAAUCAAACAUGCAGAAGACGGUAUGCUUGAUCUAAAUAAAGCUGCUGAUACAUUAGAGGUGCAGAAAAGGCGUAUAUAUGAUAUCACAAAUGUCCUGGAAGGCAUUGGGCUGAUAGAAAAGAAACUCAAGAACAGGAUCCAGUGGAAGGGUCAAGGUGUCUCGAAACCAGGAGAAGCUGACGAGAGUGUUGCAAGUUUACAGGCAGAAGUGGAUAAGUUGACGAUUGAAGAGCAUAGAUUAGAUGACCAGAUAAGAGAAAUGCAGGAAAGUUUAAGGGACCUAAGUGAAGAUGAAAAUAAUCAAAG